UAUUCUCGAGACCCAGACAGCAACUGUAUCACUCGAUGAGCUGCCUACGAUUCCUCCUGCCACUAAAAGCUCAGGGACUGGUGCCCAGCAAAGCAUGAGGGAUAUUCAAAAGGCAACACGCACCAUGUCAAGCUUGUAUUACAGGACCAGGAGAACAGAAGCUCUAGCCCAUUCAGUAUUCGAUACACUUCUAUCACACCCCCUGCUAUUUGACUCCUAAGUGCGAUAGUGCCAUGGACCAAGGACCCAACCUCUGACCAGAGCCCCGCUGCUAGGCCCUGUACAACCCCACAGUUCGGUCUGCCCAGGCCAUCCUGGCAGCCUGAAAAGCCGGGAUCCCCGCAGCACUCCAUUCGCAAACGGCUUUUCCAUUCCAUUCGCUAGAAUAUUCUCCUUUGGAAUUUACACACCAGCUACUGUCUGAGGAUCUCAAAGCACUCUCUGCUGUUUUUUCACUCCCAUUUUACAGACUGGGGAAACCGAGGCACGUAAUUUUCCAGAUGUACUCAGCACUCCCAUUGCUCCUAGUUAGACGUCAAAAUAAGUGGCCAGAUUUUUCACAAGAGCUCAGUGCAUUGGGGGGGGCUGCGCUUUUGUGAAAACCUGGCCCAAACUGUUGCAAUGUCAUUCACGAACACUGGGUAUUUGGUGCUGUCAAGUGUUCAAAAAAUCAUUGGUCAGAUCCCAAAUGAGAUUAAUUUUUUUUUAAUCAGUGGUUCUUUUGAGUCGUUUUCACGUUUCUGAGCCUUGGGGAUGUAUUUCUUUCUCAUUUUCAAGCUUUUCUCUGCGACUACAAGGGCUAGAAACUUCUGUUAAAAAUGAAAACUGAGAUUCUAAUGCAAUCUCCUGAUUUCAACAGCUGGGGCUUUAAGCAAAGCAUUAAAUAUUGCAAGACUCGCGAUGAAAUCAAGUUGGUAACGCUGCGUACUUGGAAACCAAGCUCUUUAGAAAAUCUGACUACAAAUCGCACAGAGCAUGAAGAAUCAUGACUCCUUGAGCUUCCCAACCCUUACGCUCUUCCUUGCUAUGGGGUAUCUUACACAACCCCUUUAUUCUUGGCUCGCAUUCUGUUAAGUUUGAAGCGCUGUGUUGCAUCAAUAUAAUUGUUAUUGUCAAUGAGCAGCAGAGGCAGGAACGGAACCCAGGAGUUCCAGCGGUCAGUCCUGUGCCCCCACCGGUAAGUGUAAUAUCGUCCUGUUAGACUGUAUGUUCUUUGGAGCAGGGACUGUCAUUUGCCAGACAUUUAUGCAGCUCCCCGCACUAUGGGGCAAACUUGACCAAGGAUUCUAAGCACUACUAGAGUCCACUUACCCUAGGGUUUUAUACUGCACCCUAACAUCAAUGUAAGACAAUAAAUACCCCCCUUUUCGAGUGGAAUAGGCGGUAUUCCCCCAAAUACAGACCAUGACUGGGGCUCACUGCAGGUUGUCCUGCAAACUGCAUGCAUGAAUGCUGAGAUUUCUGUAUCGGAGAAAGGUAGCGUUUGCCAGUCG